rnacentral:tRNA from 1 species
GGAGGUGUAGCUCAGUUGGCAGAGCGCAAGCCUGAAGAGCUUGGCGUCGGUGGUUCGAUUCCACCCACCUCCA